CGCGUAGGCGGCUUCGUUAGUUGGGAGUGAAAGCCCCGGGCUCAACCUGGGAACUGCUCUCAAUACUGCGAGGCUAGAGAACGGGAGAGGGUAGUGGAAUUCCCAGUGUAGAGGUGAAAUUCGUAGAUAUCGGGAAGAACACCAGUGGCGAAGGCGGCUGCCUGGCCCGUUUCUGACGCUGAGGCGCGAAAGCGUGGGGAGCAAACA
rnacentral:rRNA from 1 species